UAAACAUUCUGAUACUAAUCUUUGUAAUUUGAAACCAAAAUGAAAAAAAUAAAACUUGCUUAUGAGAUAAGUGUAGCAUACAUAGAUUCAUCAGUCCAAGCGAUCAGGUUUCUUCCUUUCCUUCUUCUUCCGGGGUUCUUCUGUUAUCGUGGAUAAGCCUAGAAAAAAAUGAAUUUAUCUCAUCAAAUUUUUUUUUUUUCUAUGUAGGAAAGAUCAGAAUUUUUUUUUUUAUUCCUAUACGCAUAAGAAACUGAAAAUAAAAUUAUUUUACCCAUAAUAAAUUGAAAAUACCAUGAAUUUUGUCCUUGAGCAUCAUCUUUCGAAGCCUUGUUGCUCUAGCCUCUUCAAACAGACACGUUGACUCUAUCUGUUUGCUGAUCAUUUGAGCAGCAUAGUAAGGGAUUUUGCCACGAAAGGACCGGACAUUAACGAACAUGAUACAGUCCAUCAAGCUUUCUCUUGAAAGCCCUUUGAUGUCAUAAGCUCUUGACCUUGUCCAGAGACUCUUACCAUGCGUAUUCACAGGUUCAGACAAGCAAAGAGCUCUUGUGCAAUCACUUAUGGCUGCGUCUGCAUCUCCGAUAAGUAAGUAACACUCUCCUCUAUCGCUAAAUAGACUCAUUCUCUUUCUCCUAAGUUUCAAAGGGCAUAAUCCUAUUGCUUCGUUGUAGCAUUUAAUAGCUCCCUCUAUGUCUCCUACACAAAGAAAUUGAUUUGCUUGCUUCUUAAUCAAAUUCACAACUACACUAGCCUCUGCCAACCUUUCUUGAUUAUCUCCCUCUAUAAGCUUUCUCUCCCUCUUUCUCCUCUCUAAUUUAAUCCUCCAUAUUUCUUUCAAAGCCUUUUGGGCCUUGUAUGUGUAAGCAUAACCUUUCUUUUUAUUGUUAUCCAUUAGAAGAACCCUAGUUAUUCUAUCACCUAGGUUUGGUCUAUCAUUAAGAGCUUUAAGCUCAACUAGGUCUACUAGAUAAAACAAUGAUGUCUCUAAGACUUUGUACCUUGUUUCUUGGUCUUUGAGCAGAAGCAAUAGACAAUCUACACCCAUGUAUUGCCAAUCAUCAGAAGACCGGGAGAGGUUGCAUAGGCUCAAUAUCAUUUCUCUGGAAUUUGAAACAUGUCCUCGCCCUUGUUUGCUAUAACAUAGAAUCCGGAUUAGCCCGAUGCUCGCAGGAGAAGUGUGGUUAACCAAUCCACCCCACAUUUGGCUAAGCUCCUUGAGAAAGUUUUUGUUGCAAAUAAGAGAAAUAGACAUUUGCUUGUAGGCAAAGCAACUGAGUAAAUGAAGUGACCAGCACUGGAGUUGGCUUGCCCAUUCCUCAGCUUUUCUGUCUUCCAUCUCUAACCCUCCAAGUCCUCUUGUCAGCAAGUCACAAUGAUAUCUCACUCUUCCUUCUCUUUCUUGAACACUCACAAACGCUUCGUACACAACAUAUACACAUGUCGUUGCAAUGUCCAUGGCUAAUCUCACCACUUCAUCCUCGUAAGCAGCCACUGCCUCAAACGUCCUCUCGUAGCUCGCUAAGUGGCCUAACGCCCUAACCACCACUCUUUGCUCGACCCAACUCAUUUUCCCUCUCAUAAGCUCCACUAAUGGAGCUAUGACACCGGACUCCACAGCUUUCACAGCAAAGUCAGGCUUCUUCAUGGUGUAAGAUCCAAUGAUAUGAGCUGCGUAGUAUGGAACAUACACAUUUUGACCAGUCAUUACCCAUUCCGCAUCCUCAAGACUUUUCUUCAACAACUUUGCCAUGCACUCGAAGACCCCCAGAGACGGUAACUCGGGGUUCCCGGGGUCGGCCAUGGCGAAUCUCCAGAUGAAACUGAGUGUGAGAGCGAGCUCUGUGUCGUCUCUUGUCAUGUGCAUAUCACUAAGAGAUAACUCUAACCAUGCUUUUCUAAGACAAGGGUCUUUUUCUUCCAUGACACAAAAGAAACAACACGGUCUGAAGCCGACAACAGCGUGGGACCUCCUGGCCAUCUUGUUUGUACCCUUGCAAGAGAAGUGGUCCAUGAUAGAUCUGUGAUUUUGUUGAUGUUUUGGCUGUUUUUUUCUGAUUAAAGAAGGUUUAAUACAAAAAGGUGAAAUAGGGUUUGUAUGUGAUCCAGGUGGAUGCAGAUCAAAGUGGGAGUUUUUUGUUUAUUUGAAAAGUGAAACUAAAGUGGCCUAGUGACGUGAUGACAUCUAGCGGCCGCAUGAGAAAGUGGAAUGCAAAAUUGUCCUUUCCGUUUAAACAAUUCAAAAAGUUUACUAAUAGUUUCAUAGUACAGUCAUUUUACUGGCACUCUUGCGAAAGAUAUCUAAACAGAUGAUACGGCAUGCCUGGUGCAUAUACAAAAUUGAUUGUAGAAAAUGUUACACGUAUGUUUUAUAUUUAAGAAGAUAUUACAUGUACUUCAAUAAUAU
rnacentral:lncRNA from 1 species